rnacentral:rRNA from 1 species
GCAGUCGAGCGGACAGAAGGGAGCUUGCUCCCGGAUGUUAGCGGCGGACGGGUGAGUAACACGUGGGUAACCUGCCUGUAAGACUGGGAUAACUCCGGGAAACCGGAGCUAAUACCGGAUAGUUCCUUGAACCGCAUGGUUCAAGGAUGAAAGACGGUUUCGGCUGUCACUUACAGAUGGACCCGCGGCGCAUUAGCUAGUUGGUGGGGUAAUGGCUCACCAAGGCGACGAUGCGUAGCCGACCUGAGAGGGUGAUCGGCCACACUGGGACUGAGACACGGCCCAGACUCCUACGGGAGGCAGCAGUAGGGAAUCUUCCGCAAUGGACGAAAGUCUGACGGAGCAACGCCGCGUGAGUGAUGAAGGUUUUCGGAUCGUAAAGCUCUGUUGUUAGGGAAGAACAAGUGCGAGAGUAACUGCUCGCACCUUGACGGUACCUAACCAGAAAGCCACGGCUAACUACGUGCCAACAGCCGCGGUAAUACGUAGGUGGCAAGCGUUGUCCGGAAUUAUUGGGCGUAAAGGGCUCGCAGGCGGUUUCUUAAGUCUGGAUGUGAAAGCCCC